rnacentral:rRNA from 1 species
UAGGGAAUCUUCGGCAAUGGACGAAAGUCUGACCGAGCAACGCCGCGUGUGUGAAGAAGGUUUUCGGAUCGUAAAACUCUGUUGUUAGAGAAGAACAAGGACGUUAGUAACUGAACGUCCCCUGACGGUAUCUAACCAGAAAUCCACGGCUAACUACGUGCCAGCAGCCGCGGUAAUACGUAGGUGGCAAGCGUUGUCCGGAUUUAUUGGGCGUAAAGCGAGCGCAGGCGGUUUCUUAAGUCUGAUGUGAAAACCCCCGGCUCAACCGGUGAGGGUAAUUGGAAACUGGGAGACUUGGGUGCAGAAGAGGAGAGUGGAAUUCCAUGUGUGGCGGAGAAAUGCAUAGAUAUAUGGAGGAACACCAGUGACGAAGGAGGCUCUCUAGACUGUAACUGACACUGUGGAUAAAGGGCGUGGGGGGCAAACAAG